GACGAACGCUGGCGGCGUGCCUAAUACAUGCAAGUCGAACGGAAAGGCCCUGCUCUUGUGGGGUUCUCGAGUGGCGAACGGGUGAGUAACACGUGAGUAACCUGCCCCUGACUUUGGGAUAACUUCAGGAAACUGGGGCUAAUAUCGGAUAGGAGCUCCUGCUGCAUGGUGGUGGUUGGAAAGUUUCGGCGGUUGGGGAUGGACUCGCGGCUUAUCAGCCUGUUGGUGGGGUAGUUGCUUACCAAGGCUUCGACGGAUAGCCGGCCUGGGAGGGUUACCGGGCACAUUGGGACUGAGGUACGGCGCAGACUCCUAUGGGAGGCAGCGGUGGAGAAUAUUGCGCAGUGGGGGGAAGCCUGAGACAGAAACGCCGCGUGCGGGAUGACGGCCUUCGGGUUGUAAACCGCUUUCGCCUGUGACGAGGCGGGAGUGACGGUAAUGGGUAAAGAAGCACCGGCUAACUACGUG
rnacentral:rRNA from 1 species